rnacentral:rRNA from 1 species
UACGUAGGGAGCAAGCGUUGUCCGGAAUCAUUGGGCGUAAAGCGCGCGUAGGCGGCCUCAUAAGUCCGUUGUGAAAGUCAAAGGCUCAACCUUUGAAAGCCGAUGGAUACUGUGAGGCUAGAGUCCGGAAGAGGCGAGUGGAAUUCCUGGUGUAGCGGUGGAAUGCGCAGAUAUCAGGAGGAACACCGGUGGCGAAGGCGGUUCUCUGGGCAUGUCCUGACGCUGAGGAGCGAAAGUGUGGGGAGCGAACGGG